UCUGAUUAGCUAGUUGGUGAGGUAUAGGCUUACCAAGGCGACGAUCAGUAGCUGGUCUGAGAGGACGACCAGCCACACUGGAACUGAGACACGGUCCAGACUCCUACGGGAGGCAGCAGUGGGGAAUUUUGGACAAUGGGGGCAACCCUGAUCCAGCCAUUCCGCGUGAGUGAAGAAGGCCUUCGGGUUGUAAAGCUCUUUCAGGAGGGAAGAAACGGUUGCAGCUAAUACCUGCGACUAAUGACGGUACCUUCAGAAGAAGCACCGGCUAACUACGUGCCAGCAGCCGCGGUAAUACGUAGGGUGCGAGCGUUAAUCGGAAUUACUGGGCGUAAAGCGUGCGCAGGCGGUUUUGUAAGUCAGAUGUGAAAUCCCCGGGCUUAACCUGGGAACU
rnacentral:rRNA from 1 species